rnacentral:rRNA from 1 species
GUGGGGAAUCUUGCACAAUGGGCGAAAGCCUGAUGCAGCGAUCCCGCGUGGAGGACGAAGCCCUAUGGGGUGUAAACUCCUUUUCUGGUGGAAGAAGAAUGACGGUACACCAGGAAUAAGAGACGGCUAACUACGUGCCAGCAGCCGCGGUAAUACGUAGGUCUCAAGCGUUAUCCGGAUUUACUGGGCGUAAAGUGUCCGUAGCCGGAUGUACAAGUCUGUUUUCAAAUACUCUGACUCAAUCAGAGAAAGGGGAUAGAUACUGUACAUCUAGAAAUUGUUAGAGGUUAGUGGAAUUUCCGGUGGAGCGGUGAAAUGUGUUGAUAUCGGAAAGAAUGCCGAAAGCGAAAGCAGCUAACUAUAAUAAAUUUGACGGUGAUGGACGAAAGCUUGGGUAGCAAACGGGAUUAGAUACCCCAGUAGUCC